CUCUGAUCUGUAGAGCGGACUUUGUUUAAGCCGUGGCCUAUUACGUCAGUUAAAAGUGUGCUGUGUUGCUUUUUCAGGGAGGUUUUCAGACCAGUCAUUGUAUGUCCUCAGCAAGGUAAUGUUCACUGUACAUUCUGAUGUAUGAAGACACAGACAUUACAUUUCAUUCUAGUUUCUCUUCCUUCUUUAAAGCUGUAUCUGGCACAUUGUUGCAAAUUGUUUUUUUACACAGGUUGCCUACAGUUAUCAUUAUGUUGUCCAUAUCUUAGAUACCACAGUGAGCAAAACUUUAGAAAUACUUUGAAUGAAAAAAUUCUGCACAGCACUGAAACUGCUUAUUUUAUAGCCAUCAGUCUGGAAGAGGUCAAUUUCAAACUGGGGGGGCUGUGAUCAUAUCCCAUCCCAUUAGCUAAGCAGCCACAAGAAACCUUGAAGGAAUAUUGCUGCAGGAGGUGAUGCUGGUAACUCAGUUGCUAGCACACUCACUGAGUCAGUACUGAGCAAAUGGCUCCAAGAGGCAAAGUCUCAUUGGAAGGUGCUGUCUUUUGGCUGAAAUCUAGGCCUUCCUGCUGUACUAUC